rnacentral:lncRNA from 1 species
CCAUUUGCUCCAUUCUCUCCCUGAGAUCAAAUAGACCCUUCCUUCCAAGAUCUCCUCUCAGCUUUUGGCGUCCAAAACCUCCUUCCUCACUCCCUCCACAUCAUGCCUGAAUACAUUUUGGAGAUUCUUGAAAUUAGCCUUCACCAUUUACACUUCUUUCCUUGUGCCUUAAAAACCCUAUUCGAAGGAACUUAGUUGUUCAUCCACCUCAACCAACCUUAUUGCCUCUUGGCACACCAGUAGAUCUAGCCAUGGAUUCCACCUCCAAAGAAUGAAUUUGCAAAUAUUGCCCACUCACAAACAAGCUCUGAUACCAACUGUUAAGAUAGAUACACUAACAAAGCAAUUAAUAGAGAAGAAAAAACAGUUAUAGAUGAGAAUUGAAGAAACAUAAGAAGUUGAGGGAGAAAAUAGAGAACAGAGAUAGAAUAUUGAGAGAGGAAAAAAUUCACUAGUUAUUCCAGAUGCUCUCCAAAUGAGUAUUGUUUAAGAUAUUUCUUUGGAUGAGUCAAUUAGAGCUUUCCAGCUCCUUUUAUGCAUUGACAACUGCCUCUCCCACCAGAACUUAACAGCUUCGUUUCUAUAAUAUUAAUAACUGCUCUAACAAACUCUUCAAGAGCUAACUACUUUUCCCUCCAUUUCUAACUCUCUCCUAGCUACUUCUUCCUAUACAUCUUUCUACUAUAUGUAACAAUUUGUUUCUCGCCUCUAAUAAUCUUUUUCUCACCUUUUUUAUGCAUUGUUCCACUGGUUCUACAUCAUACACUUGUUAAUAUUACGUACAAUUUCCAUGUCCCUCGAAUUUUUGGGUCAUUAGUUGAUACUUGAUACUCAAUUAGGUCAUAAUUGAUUCAAGUACCAAACUCUUAACUGAUUAACCCAUUCCAUAAAGUGUAAGUGAUGAAAAAGGGACAAACCUCAGUGAAUUUGGAUGGCAAAAUGAGGAGAGCAGCAGAAAGUGCAGCCCUUAGAUUUACAGAGUUAACAUUUCCAAUAUCCAAAUUAUCAAAAAGGAUGAGAACCUGAAAAACAAAAAGUUAAAAAAAAAAAUGACACUUGCUAACGAUAAAGGCGGCAAAGAUAUUAUAGACGGAGUACGCUGGUAGCAAACAAAAAGCUUAGAAGCACAAGCAUAAAAAGUAAAAUAAAUGAUCACCUAAAAAUUAGUUAAUUAGUUGAUAUCAAUCAAAUCAUGCUUCGGCAAUUAAAGAAAAAGAGGAUCAAGACGCGACAUUUAGAUGCUGGAGUUGGACCACAGAGAAUUUCAUAUUUAGUUGUCGUAUAUUGAAUGAGUCCAACACCCAUAAAUACAGAGUCAAGCCUCAAUUUUAUUUAUGAACUAUUUGAUUCAAUUACAAUACUAAAGCACUUCAUCAUGAAAUCUCACAAUUGCGCAAAAAACAGAAAUGUCAUACAGACAACGGGCUUUAACAAGAAUUGAUCUCUUAACAAGCUACUUGGGCUCAGCUUGUAAAAAGACUCAACUNNN